GACUGGGUAGCCUAGUUGGUUUGGCACUGGCUUUGUAUGCCUAAGGUUGUCUGUUCGACCCAGGCCCAAGUCA